UACGAAGGGGACUAGCGUUGUUCGGAAUUACUGGGUGUAAAGGGCGCGUAGGCGGCUUGGCAAGUUGGAUGUGAAAGCCCUGGGCUCAACCCGGGAACUGCAUUCAAAACUGCCUUGCUUGAAUUCGGUAGAGGUUGGUGGAAUUCCCAGUGUAGAGGUGAAAUUCGUAGAUAUUGGGAGGAACACCCGUGGCGAAGGCGGCCAACUGGACCGACAUUGACGCUGAGGCGCGAAAGCGUGGGGAUCAAACAGG
rnacentral:rRNA from 1 species